CCUACGGGUGGCAGCAGUGAGGAAUAUUGGUCAAUGGCCGAGAGGCUGAACCAGCCAAGUCGCGUGAGGGAAGACGGCCCUACGGGUUGUAAACCUCUUUUGUCGGGGAGCAAAGCGAGUCACGUGUGACUCAUUGAGAGUACCCGAAGAAAAAGCAUCGGCUAACUCCGUGCCAGCAGCCGCGGUAAUACGGAGGAUGCGAGCGUUAUCCGGAUUUAUUGGGUUUAAAGGGUGCGCAGGCGGAGGUGCAAGUCAGCGGUCAAAUGUCGGGGCUCAAACCCGUACUGCCGUUGAAACUGCAUCCCAUGAGUGCGCGAGAAGUAUGCGGCAUGCGUGGUGUAGCGGUGAAAUGCAUAGAUAUCACGCAGAACUCAGAUUGCGAAGGCAGCAUCCCGGCGCGCAACUGACGCUCAUGCACGAAAGCGUGGGUAUCGAACCGGAUUAGAUACCCUUGUAGUC
rnacentral:rRNA from 1 species